rnacentral:ribozyme from 1 species
ACAAGAAGAAAGAGAAGAAGAAGAAAAAGGCAAAGGAGAAAAAGAAAAAGAAGAAGGCCAAAUCCAAGAAAGAUAAGAAAAAGAAGAAGUCUUCCUCUUCUUCGUCUUCGAGUUCCUCCAGCUCGUCCUCGUCUGACGACUCGGAUGAAAAAGAUGGAGGUAAGGCUGGGGAGGAUGUCAAGAACACGAAAAAAGAG